GUGGCUCAGUUGGUAGAGUGUUGGACUUUUGAUCCAUGGGUGGAUGGUUUGAUUCUGUUAAGGCCA